AUACGAAUAACUACAACUGUCCCCUGAGAGAAGCUUGCUUAAGUAGGCAGAGGAAUAAAGGCUGCAUGCUUGCCAAGGGGGACUGUCCUUAUGUGACCUGUAUUCCAAGGACCAGAGGCCCACCCCCCGGGGGCCCUGCAUGUUCCCUCAGACCGUGAGGGUCUCUGUGUUAACUCUCCCAUGAGAAAA